rnacentral:rRNA from 1 species
AGAGUAAAAUAGUACGUGAAAUUGUUGAAAGGGAAACGAUUGAAGUCAGUCGUACCGACGGAAAAUCAACUCUUCGAGUGUGGACUUUGUGGACGUGCGUGAGCUUUAACGGCCUCGCUGUUUGUAACGUUCGUGCUUUUUGGGUGUACUUUUUCGUAUGGUAGGCCAACAUCAGUUUUGAUCGCUAUAAAAUGACUGGAGGAAUGUAGCUUCGAUCUCGUAUUGAAGUGUUAUAGCCUUUGGUAGAUGUGGUGAUCGAGACUGAGGAUUGCAACGAAUAUCCUUUGGGCUAUCCGUCUGAUCUCUGAAAGUCGCUUAGGUGCCGAAAGCUUGCUUACGGUCAUUUAAGUUUGACGGUCAAAAGGUUAGAACGUGAUUACAUUCGUUAAGGAUGUUGGCGUAAUGGCUUUAAACGACC